UACGGAGGGUGCAAGCGUUGUCCGGAUUUAUUGGGUUUAAAGGGUGCGUAGGCGGGCAGAUAAGUCAGUGGUGAAAUCUCUGGGCUUAACCCAGAAACUGCCGUUGAUACUAUUUGUCUUGAAUAUCAUGGAGGUAAGCGGAAUAUGUCAUGUAGCGGUGAAAUGCUUAGAUAUGACAUAGAACACCGAUAGCGAAGGCAGCUUACUACAUGUUAAUUGACGCUGAGGCACGAAAGCGUGGGGAGCAAACAGG
rnacentral:rRNA from 1 species